rnacentral:misc_RNA from 1 species
CGCAAUGUUUACAAAACAGCCUAGCAGAGAGUCAGUUGUUGAACCUAAUCAAGACAAAAGGAGGCCAAAAUUAUGUCAGCUGUGAUAAGACGAGUUUGCACCUCCAGCCAGCAUUAUAAGCAUCAUUUAGCAGCCUUGUAUUCUUUGCCUUUGAAAACCACCAGCCACUACAUCCACUCCACUCCAUGGCUGAGUUCAGGCGGAGACCCUCCACCUUCGAAGAUGAGAGUUAUGUACAUCCCAAAUCCUCUGAAGUGGCUUAACAAUCGCGUAGAGAUCGCCAACCUGAAAAGAGAUUUUGACCCAAACUUCAAUGAAGAAGAUUUCAAAGUUGGUGCAAAACAGGGAGUGUGCACAGUCUCAGAACUUAUCCACAAGCGGGAAUGGGGUGACCUGACUGGGCUCGUCACUCAGAAAGUUAUUGACAAGCUUCGCAAAACCAAAUGGACAACUGACCAGAUCCAUAAUCUAGUUCUCUCACCAGACCAUGUGCAAGUUGUGCAGUUAAAUAACAUAAGUUUGCAAACUAUUGUUGCCGACUCCAAACAUGGCACCUCGGAGAGGCCAUGCCAUCGAAAGUACUGUGAUAUCGAUGUGAUAGUUAUAGGGACAUGCAUUCCCUAUAAUCUGGAAAAACAUUCAGUUAUAUUGUUAGAGUAUUUUGCAAGAUUCCAUCGUGAAUACACAGAAGGCAAGCUUCCGGAAUGGACAAUAACAAAGUUUAAACUGCAGAAUUUUCAAGCUGUCCAACGGAGAUAAGGAAAUAAAUUUGAUGUUAAAAGUAGCACGGAAAUUUAUUUUUAAACUGUUUCAACAAUAAUCAAAGUGUGCCUUUUGAUGUCAUAACUUGACUAAACCAUUCGAAGAUUCAAUUGUUUUGAAGAAAGUCUUCCUCUCUUUCUCAAUUUCUCUCCAUUUAUAAUAAAGCAAGUCUCCCCCCCUCCCCCCCUAUACAGUCACGGAUAUUUCCUUGGUGAGUUUUUAUUUCUUUUCUUUUUUUUUCUUUAUCUUUAUCUUUCUUUGCAACUUUAGAUAAAUUGUAAUAUGAAAUGAGGUUCAAAUCACCAAGGGCAAAUACUUUUCUUCUUUUUUUUUCCCUGAUUGAUAUUGAUUAUAUUCAAAAUAUCUUUAAUAACAUAAAUAUGCUCUUUUGAAAUUCUAAAUUUAUCAUUAUAUAAACAGAUUCUUUGAAGUAAUGUGUUUCAUGGAAAAUGGAAAGAAGAAUAAUG